rnacentral:lncRNA from 1 species
AAUCCAUUUCCUCCUUUGCAACAAGUUUAAAAAGACUGUCAGAACACUGUACUUUAAAGAAUGGGCUUAAAAGGCCCUGAGAGACAGAUCUGUGUGUGGAUUGACUAACAAAAUCAUACAGAAGAGGCUCUUAACUGAGGAAAAUCUUACCUGUAAAUGCACAGUAGAAAUUGGAGUAGUGAUGGAAACUUUGGCAAGAGACUAAACUGUUAUCUGUAUAAGCUACAUGACAAGAGAUAGAAUCAGCAUUCAAGUUUGAUACUGUACCACCAACGUGACUGAGAAUUAGGCCACGGACUUCAGUGGGAAUAGGAUCAGGCCCUUAGAUACCAAGAUCAUAGGCACCUUCGAAGUACCUAACACAGGUAAGAUAGAAACAAUGACAUCUGCUUUGAGAAGGAAUAAAAGGAAUCUCUCCUGAGCUCA